rnacentral:rRNA from 1 species
UGAGAGAAGUAAUCUUUAAGAUAACUGUGGUAAUUCUAGAGCUAAUAUUUAAGAAUGCCGUGACCGAAGCGGCGGAUUUAUUAGAUCAAAAUCAACUUGAUGAAUCUGGAUAACUUUCUGAUCGUACUACUUUAUGUUGACGACGAAUCUCUUGAAAUGGCUGACCUAUCAACUUUCGAUGGUAAGAUCAAAGCUUACCAUGGUUAUAACGGGUAACGGGGAAUCAGUGUUCGAUUCCGGAGAGGGAGCCUGAGAAACGGCUACCACAUCCACGGAAGGCAGCAGGCGCGAAAAUUACCCAAUACCAGCUCGGUGAGGUAGUGACAAAAAAUAACAAUAUGGGGUUUCAUAAUUGCAAUGAGAAAAUUUUAAAUACUUUAUCAAGUAUCAAUUGGAGGGCAAGUCUGGUGCCAGCAGCCGCGGUAAUUCCAGCUCCAAAAGCGUAUAUUAAAGUUGUUGCAGUUAAAACGCUCUUGAAAUUGAGGUUCGAGAUGGUGAAUUUCUCCUUCAUGGUCGUGAAUAUGGUGGAGUUCAUUAUAACCGACAAGUUUACUUUGAAAAAAUUAGAGUGCUUAAAGCAGGCUUAUGCUUGUAUAUUGUUGCAUGGAAUAAUAGAAUAGGACUUCGGUUUUAUUUUGUUGGUUUUCGUGAAGUAAUGAUUAAAAGAGAGGGGGCAUAUGUAUGCUGGUGUUAGAGGUGAAAUUCUUAGAUCAUCAGCAGACAAACUACUGCGAAAGCAUUUGCCAAGAAUGUUUUCAUUAAUCAAGAACGAAAGUCAGAGGAUCGAAGACGAUCAGAUACCGUCCUAGUUCUGAAAACUAUGCCAACUGACAGUUAGAAAUAUCCUAUCUAGAAGUCACCGGGAAACCUAAGUCUAUGGGUUCCGGGGGAAGUAUGGUUGCAAAGCUGAAACUUAAAGGAAUUGACGGAAGGGCACCACCAGGAGUGGAGCCUGCGGCUUAAUUUGACUCAACACGGGAAAUCUCACCCGGUCCGGACACUGUGAGGAUUGACAGAUUGAUAGCUCUUUCUUGAUUCGGUGGGUGGUGGUGCAUGGCCGUUCUUAGGCGAUUUGUCUGGUUAAUUCCGAUAAUCUGACCUGCUAACUAGUAUGCUUGUGUUAGAGGAAUAAAUAGCGUUUAGCUAAAAGAAAUUGAGCAAUAACAGGUCUGUGAUGCCCUUAGAUGUCCGGGGCCGCACGCGCGCUACAAUGGCGGUAUCAUCAAGUAUAACCCUGGCUAGAAAUGGUUGGGUAAUCUUUUGAAACACCGUCGUGUCAGGAAUAGUGGAUUGCAAUUUUCCCACUUGAACGAGGAAUUCCUAGUAAGCGCAGUUCA